rnacentral:rRNA from 1 species
UUGGAGGGCAAGUCUGGUGCCAGCAGCCGCGGUAAUUCCAGCUCCAAUAGCGUAUAUUAAAGUUGUUGCAGUUAAAAAGCUCGUAGUUGAAUUUCGGGAUCAGAUUGUCGGUCGUGCCUCGGUACGCACUGGCAUUAUUGGUUCCUACCUUCUGAAGAACCGCGAUGUCAUUAAUUUGGUGUCGUGGGGAAUCAGGACUGUUACUUUGAAAAAAUUAGAGUGUUUAAAGCAGGCUUACGCUUGAAUACAUUAGCAUGGAAUAAUGAAAUAGGACGUUUGAUUCUAUUUUGUUGGUUUCUAGGAUUGACGUAAUGAUUAAUAGGGAUAGUUGGGGGCAUUAGUAUUCAAUUGUCAGAGGUGAAAUUCUUGGAUUUAUAGAAGACUAACUACUGCGAAAGCAUUUGCCAAGGAUGUUUUCAUUAAUCAAGAACGAAAGUUAGGGGAUCGAAGACGAUCAGAUACCGUCGUAGUCUUAACCAUAAACUAUGCCGACUAGGGAUCGGAUGAUGUUAAUUUUUUAAUGACUCAUUCGGCGCCUUACGGGAAAC